rnacentral:lncRNA from 1 species
AGGUCCCUUCAGCUCUCUGAGUUACUCUUACCGAUUGUAGGAAAAGGCAAGCAUGCUGAAGAACAGUUGGCUCCACGGGUGACUACGAGUUUGGGGUGGGACCCCAGGGACAGGCUAUUUAUGGCGAACUGGGGAAACACAGCCAAAGAAACACCCACUGUAAGAGCAUUAGCUGUGUGGCCCCAGCCCCCGCGCCUCGGCUCCCCAGGGAAUGGCCACUUCUCCACUAUCUGCUCGGGCAAGUUACUUGAUUUGCCUGAGCUUCACUUCUCACCGCUAAAAUGGGGGCACUCCUACCUGCCUGACAGGUGUAAGAAGACAGAUAGAGGAACCUAAAGUACCUGGCUCAAGCUGGCCCAGGGCUGGUGGAGCCUGGGAAAAGAGCAGCCCAGCUGCCAAUCAGGCCUGAGUCAGUGACAUAAGAACACGAGAGGAACCAGAGUCCCAGGAGAGGCUAGAGACGUCCUUGGUCACCCACCACUAGCCUCUCCCACUUCACAGCUGAGGUGGCCUGAUCAGGUGUGCCCAGCCACCAUCACAGAGCACUGCUGGGGCUAUGAGGGCGUCUUCCACUGCCCCAGAGAACCAAUAUCAUCUUAUUUCUAAAGGAACCACCUUCUCCUUUCAG